rnacentral:sRNA from 1 species
GGGUGUGGUGGCUCAUGCCUGUAAUCCCAGCAGCUCGGGAGGCUGAGACAGGAGAAUCACAAGUUCAAAGGCAGCCUGAGCAAUGGUGAGGUGCUAAGCAAUUCAGUGAGACCCUGUCUCUA